GACGAACGCUGGCGGCGUGCCUAAUACAUGCAAGUCGAACGCAUUUUCUUUCACCGUAGCUUGCUACACCGAAAGAAAAUGAGUGGCGAACGGGUGAGUAACACGUGGGUAACCUGCCCAUCAGCGGGGGAUAACACUUGGAAACAGGUGCUAAUACCGCAUAAUUCCAUUUACCGCAUGGUAGAUGGAUGAAAGGCGCUUUUGCGUCACUGAUGGAUGGACCCGCGGUGCAUUAGCUAGUUGGUGGGGUAACGGCCUACCAAGGCUGCGAUGCAUAGCCGACCUGGGAGGGUGAUCGGCCACACUGGGACUGAGACACGGCCCAGACUCCUACGGGAAGCAGCAGUAGGGAAUCUUCGGCAAUGGACGCAAGUCUGACCGAGCAACGCCGCGUGAGUGAAGAAGGUUUUCGGAUCGUAAAACUCUGUUGUUAGAGAAGAACAAGGAUGAGAGUGGAAAGUUCAUCCCUUGACGGUAUCUAACCAGAAAGCCACGGCUAACUACGUG
rnacentral:rRNA from 1 species